rnacentral:lncRNA from 10 species
CGAGCUUCCUGGCUGCUUUGUUUACCUACUCAAGCCUCAGCAAUGGAGGGUGCUCCUCCCUCAGCCUCUCUUCUACCCUGCAGUUCGAUCUCAGACCUCAUUGCUGUGCUAGCAAUGAGGGAGGUUCCGUGGGCAUGGGACCCUCUGAGCCAGAAACUACAUCAAGCUUGCCUAACCCGUGGCCCAGGACAGCUUUGGAUGCGACCCAACACAAAUUCAUGGGACCAUCUGGUUGCACGAAAACAAGCUCAGGGGUCCUACUGAUUCUACAUUAUGGU